GAUGAACGUUGGCGGCGUGCCUAAUACAUGCAAGUCGAGCGAACGGACGAGAAGCUUGCUUUUCUGAUGUUAGCGGCGGACGGGUGAGUAACACGUGGAUAACCUACCUAUAAGACUGGGAUAACUUCGGGAAACCGGAGCUAAUACCGGAUAAUAUUUUGAACCGCAUGGUUCAAAAGUGAAAGACGGUCUUGCUGUCACUUAUAGAUGGAUCCGCGCUGCAUUAGCUAGUUGGUAAGGUAACGGCUUACCAAGGCAACGAUGCAUAGCCGACCUGAGAGGGUGAUCGGCCACACUGGAACUGAGACACGGUCCAGACUCCUACGGGAGGCAGCAGUAGGGAAUCUUCCGCAAUGGGCGAAAGCCUGACGGAGCAACGCCGCGUGAGUGAUGAAGGUCUUCGGAUCGUAAAACUCUGUUAUUAGGGAAGAACAUAUGUGUAAGUAACUGUGCACAUCUUGACGGUACCUAAUCAGAAAGCCACGGCUAACUACGUG
rnacentral:rRNA from 1 species